CUGAAGGACUGAGUCAUUCAGGGCCUGGGGUGUCACCAUCUCUCAGAAGAGGAGUUCUCUCAGCCCUGGUCCUCUCCAAUCUCCUCACAGAGAGUUCCAGAGUUCCAGAGUGAAAUAUGACUUGCUGUAAAACUCUGUAUUGUGUUCUGCAAGUCAUACUGGAAGAAACAAAGGAUUCUUGUUAAUUCUGCAUUCUUGCCCAUCCCGUUUGUGAAGGUCAAGCUAAUUUACUCCCAUGUGAGUGAGUCCAGUGUGCUUGUCGUGAAUGACAGCUGGGCCCUGAUGGAUGUCAAGUGGUUGCAAGAGCUCCAAGGCAGGAACCUUCUUCUAGGCAAAAGCAACCUAAGACGUUGUCCACAGAUGCCUACAGGAGAAAAUCCAAAUUCCUUAACAUGGGUACAUACCUCCUUCACAAGUUUGCACUGUAUCCUGCUUCAGCAUCAUUUUUUUUGCCAAACCCGACUUGCACUCCCAUUCUCCAGCCACACCAAGCUAUUUGCCAAAUGGGCCCAGUGUUUAUAAACCUCAGCCUGGAAUGUCCUUCCAUGCCCUGGUUAACGCUUACUCAUGUUACACGACCCAACUGAAGCUCUUCUUGGCCCUCCACACCUUUUUGUGGAGUGCUGUGUCUCCUGCUUUGUGGCCCUCUGUACCUGUAAAUACUUCCAUAGUUGUACCAAUAACGUCUCUUUUUCUCUGGCUGUUUACAUAUCUGACAGUCCUUCUGUCUAUAAGUUCUUUUGAGGCAAGGCCGGUUUUUUUCCAGCUUUGUAUGUCCACUGCAGAUGCUCAAUUAAUGUUUUCUUAAAAUUAAUAAAUUAAAAAGUUGAAUGACUGGUUAAUUAGUUGUUCCCAAUUCUCAACUUUCUCAUAUUAAUGGAAGCUUUUUAGGGCUUUAUUUUUGUUUGUUUGUAAGUGUGUGAGUCUGUCGGCCUGUCUUAGACGGGUGCUGCUCAAACUGUAAUGUGCCUGGGAAUCUUGUGAGCACGCAGAUUAGGGCAAGUCUGAGUGGAGCCUGAGAUUCUGCAUUCCUAACAGGCUCCCAGGUGAUGCUGAUACUGCCGGUCCAAGGAGCAUAUUUUGCACAGCAAAGUCAGCAGGCAACAGGGUCUCUAGAGGGCAGAGGUUGCUGUCUGUAAGUAGAGGAAGCCCUAAAAAACAAGUGAAGACUUAGUGAAGAUGACAAUUAGAUGACAAGGAACAUACUUUGUAUCCAUCAUUUCCAUCCAGGAGCUUUGGUCUCCUAUGGAAUUCAUCUUCGGUGAUGGGCUGAGCUUUUCUGGAGCUCUUAUUUCUCAUUUUCUCCAGCUGGAGUCCAGCUUAGGCCACAAACAUUGCUCCCUCCGUACCUUUGUGAUAGUUGCCAGGAGCUCAGCUGAGCUGGGAGAGAGAACACUGAUCUGACAGGUGUGGGAGUAGCUGAUGAAAGCAACAAGCCUAAAAUGAAAAAGUUAAGCCAUUAAUCACUUACUGUGAUGGUAUAAGCAAGAGUCUAAUACUGGAAAAGGUGCCACCUCCCCCUGUUCCAAUUCCCCCUUGGAACUGCACGCCAGUCCAUGUUCAGGUGGAUCAGCGUAGAUGUGCGGGUUGUCUAGCUGUUGGAGCUGCUGAAUAAGAGACUUCGGUUUUGUGGACCCUGAGGUGGAGGGAGCGUGAGGGGGAAGGGCUAGGAGUGGAAAAGUACUGGGUACUGAGUCAGAGUAGGGAAAGUGUCUUCACAGUUUCCUCCCUACCCCCUCCCCAUCAAGGGGCCCAGCAGAGACAGGGACAGGCGCCUGAAGAGGACCUCCGCCCAAGGCCUCAGAAGGAGAGACCUGGGAACGAAGGUGCCUCUGGGCAAGGAGUGUAAAUAUGCGAAGAGCAUGGCCAGCGAGGGGGCUGAGUCCUUGACUGCACUCCCUCCAGAAACCGCCAUGCACGGGCUGCCUACGAGCUUGCUGUGGGGAGGGCAGCCUCUCCAGGCUGCCGGGCAAAGCCUCAGUAAUUGCCUGUGGUCAGGCCUGAAAAAUCACACAGUCACACAUGGGUUUUUAACCAGGAGCUGGACUCCUCAGUAGUUUUUCUCACCCAAGUGUUCGCUUGAAAUUCAUUCAUAUUCAUUCCCUCCCUGUCUCUCUCCGGCCCUCUCCCCCUCUACCCUGCCUUCCUCCCACACCCUCGCCCCCUGCAAUCCUACGCAUCCUUCUCAGCUAUAUUAGUUGCUUAUUGUUGCAUAACCAAGCACUCCAAAACUCAAAACAACAAACGUUUAUUAUCUCACAGUUUCUGUGAGUCAGGAAUCAAGAUGCAGCUUAGGUAGAUGCCUCUGGUUCAAAGUCUCUCGUAAGGUUGAAAACCGUCAGCCAAGGUUGCAGUCUCAUGUUGACUAGGGGGGACCACUCCCAAAUUCACUUGUGUGGUCAUUGGCAGUGUUCAGUUCCUUGCAGGCUGUUGGCAGGAGGCCUACCUCCGUUCCUCGCCACGUGAACCUUUCCUUAGGGCAUCUUAUAACAUGGCAACUGGCUUCCCUCAGGGUGAGUGAGCUAGCGAGAGUAAACACCCAAGAUGGACAGUACGGUUUUUUGUAACCUAAUGUCGGAAGUGACAUCCCAUUACUUCUGCAGGAUUCUGUCUGUUAGAACCAAGUCAUUAAGUCCAGCCCACAUGGGAGGGCAUGACCAAGGGUUUGAAUACCGGGAGAUGGGACUAUUAGGGGCCUUCUUAGAGCCUGCUGACCACAAAGGCCCAGCCAACAUUGUGCCCCUUCCCUAACUAUUCCUCUAGCAUCCGAUAGAAUCUGUUUUCCUAUAACCAAGAUUUCGAUUUUAUUCUAUUCUGUACACAUGUCUUGUUGCCCCAAGUGUUUGAGGCUUCUCUUCUUGGUGGAACUCGGAUUCCCCACAAGCAAAGACCACCGGCUCUUGUCCCCCACUUCUCUUGUGGUCCCCACUGUACCCAUCCCAGGACUAGAGGUAUAAUAAAUAUUUGUUGAUUAUGAACAACUCUCAACUUCAGCUUACUUAAACUUUUUCAGUCCAGCUUUCUGGGGCCCUGGGAUUUCUGUGGGAGCCUUUAUAUUCAGAGCCUUUUCCUGCUGAGCAAACAGACCUCAUCUGGGUCGAUAAUCCUUGCAGGGAGGGUGAGGCAGGGUUAUUGUUUACACUACAGAGCUGUCUGCUAAUGCCUUUAACGUGGAAUUUAGCUGUUGAGAGAACUGGGAAUGAUUUGGAGCCCUUUAGAACCGAGGAAAGACGAAAAGCAAGAGAACUAGCACUUUAUGUUGAGUAUCUCGUUUAAUCCUCCCAAUAAGCAUCAUGUGCAGCUUAUCAGCCCUGACUUUGCAAACAUGGAGUCUGAGGCCCCACAAUUAGCAAAGAGCAGAGCCAGAACCUGAACCCAGGCCCCAGAGCCUCUUCCUCUCCCCUGCCUUGUGCUUCUAGGAAUGGUUUGCAGUGAUUUACUCUCAGAUCAGGGUCCUUCCUGCUGGGGCUAUUGGCAGUACCCAACCCCACUCUCUGUGGUUUCUGUGGCCCGUUUACGUGUCCUGAGACACCCAGUAAACACCUGAUGAAUGAACUCUUCCUCCUCUGGAGUGGGGAGUGGCCAGGAGGCUUCCACACUCACACCCAAAGGCCAGGCAGAACACUAAACCCACCCAGCUAGUGUACCUGACACACAGAGUGUGGCGAAGACGAGUGAGGCAGGCAGAGGCUGGGUUGGGUGAAGUGUGGCAAGGAAAUCUUGUCAGAAGCUCUGACACCCCAGGAAGAGAAGGUCACUUGAGAUGUAUAUGGAUACAAAUGUAGGACUUGCCACACAGAUUUGUUUACCAUCUUCUGAGAGGCCCCACAGUGGCCUCAGCCCCUCUGAGUGGGACUCUUGGUGGAGGAUAGUG